CCCUUCGGGGUUAGUGGCGCACGGGUGCGUAACGCGUGGGAAUCUGCCCCUUGGUUCGGAAUAACAGUUAGAAAUGACUGCUAAUACCGGAUGAUGUCUUCGGACCAAAGAUUUAUCGCCAAGGGAUGAGCCCGCGUAGGAUUAGGUAGUUGGUGGGGUAAAGGCCUACCAAGCCGACGAUCCUUAGCUGGUCUGAGAGGAUGAUCAGCCACACUGGGACUGAGACACGGCCCAGACUCCUACGGGAGGCAGCAGUGGGGAAUAUUGGACAAUGGGCGAAAGCCUGAUCCAGCAAUGCCGCGUGAGUGAUGAAGGCCUUAGGGUCGUAAAGCUCUUUUACCAGGGAUGAUAAUGACAGUACCUGGAGAAUAAGCUCCGGCUAACUCCGUGCCAGCCGCCGCGGUAAUAC
rnacentral:rRNA from 1 species